GCAGUCGAGGGGUAGAAGGAGCUUGCUCCUUUGAGACCGGCGCACGGGUGCGUAACGCGUAUGCAAUCUACCUUUUACAGCGGGAUAGCCCAGAGAAAUUUGGAUUAAUACCUCAUAGUAUAUUAGAAUGGCAUCAUUUUAAUAUUAAAGUCACAACGGUAAAAGAUGAGCAUGCGUCCCAUUAGUUAGUUGGUAAGGUAACGGCUUACCAAGACGAUGAUGGGUAGGGGUCCUGAGAGGGAGAUCCCCCACACUGGUACUGAGACACGGACCAGACUCCUACGGGAGGCAGCAGUGAGGAAUAUUGGGCAAUGGAGGCAACUCUGACCCAGCCAUGCCGCGUGCAGGAAGACGGUCCUAUGGAUUGUAAACUGCUUUUAUACGGGAAGAAACACCCCCUCGUGAGGGGGCUUGACGGUACCGUAAGAAUAAGGAUCGGCUAACUCCGUGCCAGCAGCCGCGGUAAUACGGAGGAUCCAAGCGUUAUCCGGAAUCAUUGGGUUUAAAGGGUCCGUAGGCGGCCUUAUAAGUCAGUGGUGAAAUCUCCCAGCUCAACUGGGAAACUGCCAUUGAUACUGUAGGGCUUGAAUAUUAUGAAGUAACU
rnacentral:rRNA from 1 species